rnacentral:rRNA from 1 species
GGAAAGAUGAAUCAAAGAAGGUAAUAAUCCUGUAGUCGAAAAUGUUGUCUCUCUUGAGUGGAUCCUGAGUACGACGGAGCACGUGAAAUUCCGUCGGAAUCUGGGAGGACCAUCUCCUAAGGCUAAAUACUCUCUAGUGACCGAUAGUGAACCAGUACCGUGAGGGAAAGGUGAAAAGCACCCCGGAAGGGGAGUGAAAUAGAACCUGAAACCGUGUGCUUACAAGUAGUCAGAGCCCGUUAAUGGGUGAUGGCGUGCCUUUUGUAGAAUGAACCGGCGAGUUACGAUUUGAUGCAAGGUUAAGCAGUAAAUGUGGAGCCGUAGCGAAAGCGAGUCUGAAUAGGGCGUUUAGUAUUUGGUCGUAGACCCGAAACCAGGUGAUCUACCCUUGGUCAGGUUGAAGUUCAGGUAACACUGAAUGGAGGACCGAACCGACUUACGUUGAAAAGUGAGCGGAUGAACUGAGGGUAGCGGAGAAAUUCCAAUCGAACCUGGAGAUAGCUGGUUCUCUCCGAAAUAGCUUUAGGGCUAGCCUCAAGUGAUGAUUAUUGGAGGUAGAGCACUGUUUGGACGAGGGGCCCCUCUCGGGUUACCGAAUUCAGACAAACUCCGAAUGCCAAUUAAUUUAACUUGGGAGUCAGAACAUGGGUGAUAAGGUCCGUGUUCGAAAGGGAAACAGCCCAGACCACCAGCUAAGGUCCCAAAAUAUAUGUUAAGUGGAAAAGGAUGUGGCGUUGCCCAGACAACUAGGAUGUUGGCUUAGAAGCAGCCAUCAUUUAAAGAGUGCGUAAUAGCUCACUAGUCGAGUGACACUGCGCCGAAAAUGUACCGGGGCUAAACAUAUUACCGAAGCUGUGGAUUGUCCUUUGGACAAUGGUAGGAGAGCGUUCUAAGGGCGUUGAAGCAUGAUCGUAAGGACAUGUGGAGCGCUUAGAAGUGAGAAUGCCGGUGUGAGUAGCGAAAGACGGGUGAGAAUCCCGUCCACCGAUUGACUAAGGUUUCCAGAGGAAGGCUCGUCCGCUCUGGGUUAGUCGGGUCCUAAGCUGAGGCCGACAGGCGUAGGCGAUGGAUAACAGGUUGAUAUUCCUGUACCACCUAUAAUCGUUUUAAUCGAUGGGGGGACGCAGUAGGAUAGGCGAAGCGUGCGAUUGGAUUGCACGUCUAAGCAGUAAGGCUGAGUAUUAGGCAAAUCCGGUACUCGUUAAGGCUGAGCUGUGAUGGGGAGAAGACAUUGUGUCUUCGAGUCGUUGAUUUCACACUGCCGAGAAAAGCCUCUAGAUAGAAAAUAGGUGCCCGUACCGCAAACCGACACAGGUAGUCAAGAUGAGAAUUCUAAGGUGAGCGAGCGAACUCUCGUUAAGGAACUCGGCAAAAUGACCCCGUAACUUCGGGAGAAGGGGUGCUCUUUAGGGUUAACGCCCAGAAGAGCCGCAGUGAAUAGGCCCAAGCGACUGUUUAUCAAAAACACAGGUCUCUGCUAAACCGUAAGGUGAUGUAUAGGGGCUGACGCCUGCCCGGUGCUGGAAGGUUAAGAGGAGUGGUUAGCUUCUGCGAAGCUACGAAUCGAAGCCCCAGUAAACGGCGGCCGUAACUAUAACGGUCCUAAGGUAGCGAAAUUCCUUGUCGGGUAAGUUCCGACCCGCACGAAAGGCGUAACGAUUUGGGCACUGUCUCAACGAGAGACUCGGUGAAAUCAUAGUACCUGUGAAGAUGCAGGUUACCCGCGACAGGACGGAAAGACCCCGUGGAGCUUUACUGUAGCCUGAUAUUGAAAUUCGGCACAGCUUGUACAGGAUAGGUAGGAGCCUUUGAAACGUGAGCGCUAGCUUACGUGGAGGCGCUGGUGGGAUACUACCCUAGCUGUGUUGGCUUUCUAACCCGCACCACUUAUCGUGGUGGGAGACAGUGUCAGGCGGGCAGUUUGACUGGGGCGGUCGCCUCCUAAAAGGUAACGGAGGCGCUCAAAGGUUCCCUCAGAAUGGUUGGAAAUCAUUCAUAGAGUGUAAAGGCAUAAGGGAGCUUGACUGCGAGACCUACAAGUCGAGCAGGGUCGAAAGACGGACUUAGUGAUCCGGUGGUUCCGCAUGGAAGGGCCAUCGCUCAACGGAUAAAAGCUACCCCGGGGAUAACAGGCUUAUCUCCCCCAAGAGUUCACAUCGACGGGGAGGUUUGGCACCUCGAUGUCGGCUCAUCGCAUCCUGGGGCUGUAGUCGGUCCCAAGGGUUGGGCUGUUCGCCCAUUAAAGCGGUACGCGAGCUGGGUUCAGAACGUCGUGAGACAGUUCGGUCCCUAUCCGUCGUGGGCGUAGGAAAUUUGAGAGGAGCUGUCCUUAGUACGAGAGGACCGGGAUGGACAUACCUCUGGUGUACCAGUUGUCGUGCCAACGGCAUAGCUGGGUAGCUAUGUGUGGACGGGAUAAGUGCUGAAAGCAUCUAAGCAUGAAGCCCCCCUCAAGAUGAGAUUUCCCAACUUCGGUUAUAAGAUCCCUCAAAGAUGAUGAGGUUAAUAGGUUCGAGGUGGAAGCAUGGUGACAUGUGGAGCUGACGAAUACUAAUCGAUCGAAGACUUAAUCAA